AAUCCAUAGGUUAAUGAGGCGAACCGGGGGAACUGAAACAUCUAAGUACCCCGAGGAAAAGAAAUCAACCGAGAUUCCCCCAGUAGCGGCGAGCGAACGGGGAGGAGCCCAGAGCCUGAAUCAGCAUGUGUGUUAGUGGAAGCGUCUGGAAAGGCGCGCGAUACAGGGUGACAGCCCCGUACACAAAAGCGCAUGUGCUGUGAGCUCGAUGAGUAGGGCGGGACACGUGGUAUCCUGUCUGAAUAUGGGGGGACCAUCCUCCAAGGCUAAAUACUCCUGACUGACCGAUAGUGAACCAGUACCGUGAGGGAAAGGCGAAAAGAACCCCGGCGAGGGGAGUGAAAAAGAACCUGAAACCGUGUACGUACAAGCAGUGGGAGCACCCUUUGGGUGUGACUGCGUACCUUUUGUAUAAUGGGUCAGCGACUUAUAUUCUGUAGCAAGGUUAACCGAAUAGGGGAGCCGGAGGGAAACCGAGUCUUAACCGGGCGUUAAGUUGCAGGGUAUAGACCCGAAACCCGGUGAUCUAGCCAUGGGCAGGUUGAAGGUUGGGUAACACUAACUGGAGGACCGAACCGACUAAUGUUGAAAAAUUAGCGGAUGACCUGUGGCUGGGGGUGAAAGGCCAAUCAAACCGGGAGAUAGCUGGUUCUCCCCGAAAGCUAUUUAGGUAGCGCCUCGUGAAUUCAUCUCCGGGGGUAGAGCACUGUUUCGGCUAGGGGGCCAUCCCGGCUUACCAACCCGAUGCAAACUGCGAAUACCGGAGAAUGUUAUCACGGGAGACACACGGCGGGUGCUAACGUCCGUCGUGAAGAGGGAAACAACCCAGACCGCCAGCUAAGGUCCCAAAGUCAUGGUUAAGUGGGAAACGAUGUGGGAAGGCCCAGACAGCCAGGAUGUUGGCUUAGAAGCAGCCAUCAUUUAAAGAAAGCGUAAUAGCUCACUGGUCGAGUCGGCCUGCGCGGAAGAUGUAACGGGGCUAAACCAUGCACCGAAGCUGCGGCAGCGACACUGUGUGUUGUUGGGUAGGGGAGCGUUCUGUAAGCCUGUGAAGGUGUGUCGUGAGGCAUGCUGGAGGUAUCAGAAGUGCGAAUGCUGACAUAAGUAACGAUAAAGCGGGUGAAAAGCCCGCUCGCCGGAAGACCAAGGGUUCCUGUCCAACGUUAAUCGGGGCAGGGUGAGUCGACCCCUAAGGCGAGGCCGAAAGGCGUAGUCGAUGGGAAACGGGUUAAUAUUCCCGUACUUGGUGUUACUGCGAAGGGGGGACGGAGAAGGCUAUGUUGGCCGGGCGACGGUU
rnacentral:rRNA from 4 species